UACGUAGGGUGCAAGCGUUAAUCGGAAUUACUGGGCGUAAAGCGUGCGCAGGCGGUUCGGAAAGAGAGGUGUGAAAUCCCAGGGCUUAACCUUGGAACUGCACUUUUAACUACCGGGCUAGAGUACGUCAGAGGGGGGUAGAAUUCCACGUGUAGCAGUGAAAUGCGUAGAGAUGAGGAGGAAUACCGAUGGCGAAGGCAGCCCCCUGGGCUAACACUGACGCUCAUGCACGAAAGCGUGGGGAGCAAACAGG
rnacentral:rRNA from 1 species